CCUACGGGUGGCUGCAGUGGGGAAUAUUGGACAAUGGGCGAAAGCCUGAUCCAGCCAUGCCGCGUGUGUGAAGAAGGCCUUCGGGUUGUAAAGCACUUUCAGUGGCGAAGAAAGCCUUGGGGCUAAUACCCUCGAGGAAGGACAUCACCCACAGAAGAAGCACCGGCUAACUCCGUGCCAGCAGCCGCGGUAAUACGGAGGGUGCGAGCGUUAAUCGGAAUUACUGGGCGUAAAGCGCGCGUAGGCGGUCUGAUAAGCCGGUUGUGAAAGCCCCGGGCUCAACCUGGGAACGGCAUCCGGAACUGUCAGGCUAGAGUGCAGGAGAGGAAGGUAGAAUUCCCGGUGUAGCGGUGAAAUGCGUAGAGAUCGGGAGGAAUACCAGUGGCGAAGGCGGCCUUCUGGACUGACACUGACGCUGAGGUGCGAAAGCGUGGGUAGCAAACAGGAUUAGAUACCCUAGUAGUC
rnacentral:rRNA from 1 species